ACGCUCGACACCUACGGGAGGCAGCAGUCGGGAAUAUUGCGCAAUGGAGGAAACUCUGACGCAGUGACGCCGCGUGCAGGAAGAAGGUUUUCGGAUUGUAAACUGCUUUAGACAGGGAAGAAAGAAAUGACAGUACCUGUAGAAUAAGCUCCGGCUAACUACGUGCCUGCAGCCGCGGUAAUCUGAGCGGGCUGGCAAGGC
rnacentral:rRNA from 1 species